rnacentral:sRNA from 1 species
GCCAGGUGCAGUGGCGCAUGUCUGUAAUCCCAGCAGCUCAGGAGGCUGAGGCAGGAGGAUCGCAGAUUCAAAGCCAGCUUCAGCAAAAAAGGAGGCGCUAAUCAACUCAGUGAGACCCUGACUCUA